rnacentral:lncRNA from 1 species
GUUCUCCCUAUUCCUGGCCAGUCAUGUCAGGAAGUCUGGACAUCCCAUUUGGCCAAAAUCUUUGCUGAAGAUAAAGAAAUAACCCUUAGCACCUGGGAUAAAUGGAGAAACAAAACUGAAGUCAUGAAAAGUUGCAACAUUAUUAAGAGAGACUUGGAUUCACUGGAAAUUUAUUAACCCAGGUAUGUAAAAAGCUUCCAACCAGAAAUAAUAAAUGGUCUCUAGCUCCCUUGUUUCUAAACAUUGCUUCUUUUCAUUAUUUUUGUCCUUUCACCUUUUUUUUUUCCUAUCUCCCCAACCCCCUUGAUUAAUAGAACAGAGGCAGGAUUUUCAGAAAACGGUUCUUGACAGUCAUCAGUAUGAGACUGUACAAAUUCUCUUGAGCAAGAGGCAUGAAUACUGGAACAAGCUCCAACUGUUCCAACCAUAAGUCUUGCAGCAGUUAGAGAUGAAAAGUGUAACCUAAGCCAAGACUCAAGGACAUAUAUCUCUCUUACCCUCACACUAUAAAAGUACAAUCUGAUUUUGACAAUGAGUUAGGUGACUUACCUGGUAUUCAGGUGCUUCCUGAUGUGAAUCAGCUCAAUAAAGUCUUUUACUUCUGUUUGAGUCACAAACUAAUUUUUUUUUCUAUGACAAGAAUAUACUAGUGCUUACGCAGGAAAAAAAUCAGCAAUUUCCAAAAUCAGUUCAAACAUUUCAUUAUUAAUUUAAUGUUAUAUAAUAAAGUUACUAAUAUAUUGAACAAUAGGCAUUAUGCUAUGAAUUUGAGAGGCAUUUCCUAAAUGAUGCUUGCUUGGAAUAUCCACAUUUAUGUUCACUUUUGUUAGCACUUUUGGUUCACAGAAAUAUAUUGCACACAGUCAGAAGUCCAAGAGAGGACAAAGCUAUGGUUUAAACAAUCUGCCCACCAGCCACUUCAAAAUGCUUGUUCCCUUAAAUCAGCAUGACAUGGUUGAUAUCACUCACUGGAUUUUAGGACCCUCUCAUUUCCUACAUACUUCUUAGGGUGUAAUCAACUCACCAUGCUGCGUGUGAUUUAAGGAUUUAAAAAUAAACAUGUCAGACAAUAUUUUUCCCUGAAUGCAAGGCAGCUCCUUCAUCUGGUUCUCUAUCAAAGCAACAGGGAACUGUUCUGGUUAGGAAGAAGGAGAUGGCUAUAAUGUUCGCCUUAUUAGCUUGUUUUAGAAUUUAGUUGCCAUAAGAUGCAGGUCUACUGUCUAUUUGGUAUUGAAUGCUAGUUUGUAUCCUCAGUGUAGAAUAAUGCCUAGCAAACCCACUAUGCAGCCUAUGACAGACUUUUCAGUUUAGAAAACUAUAAUCUUAAGUCAGACUUUCACUUAGGCCUUGAACCUAGCCUGUGAAUGUGUCCAAACAUGGCUUGUAGAUAGGAAAUGCAGGACCUGGGAAAUCUAACACUAUGUAGUUUCCUUUUCUUAGUAACAUACGGAAUAAAUGAAAAUCUACUUAGCUAAAAAGCAGUUGGCACAGAAUAUCGAUCAACUGUUAGUUUUUUUAAACCUGACUAUCAAAAGUUAAAUAAUAAAACAACCAUAUCCAAUAUUUUCAAAGCAUCAGAAAAUCAGUACUCUUACACAGUGUUGUUGGACAUGCAGAUCGACACAGUCCUCUUUUGAGAACUGUUUAAUAGCAUCAAGUAGAAACCCUUUGCUGUGCCUUUUCUGUUUUUCCAAUUUUUUCCUUCAGAAUUAGUGAUUCAUGUGCACAAAAAUAUAUGGACAAGGGAUUUUUUAUUACAGUAUUGUUUAUAACAUAAAAAUAUUGUAAAUGACAUAAAUGCUCAGAUAGAGGAAUGGCUAAAUAAAUUAUGAUAUAUCCAUUCUACAGCAUUCAAUGUCUCAUGAAAAAACAAAAUGAAAUAGAACUACAUAUAGUGAGAAAUGUCCAAAGAUGUCCAAGAAACAUGGGUUAAGUGAAAAAAUCAAGCCUUAGAAGCCUGUGAAAUGCUAUAUAAUUUCCUCCCCAAAUUGUUUUCCAUUGUCUCCUAAGGUUAUCAUUUUAUUCCUAGGUUGUAUAGAAAUUACAUUUGGAUACUUUAAUGUUAUUGUUCUCUGUCUCUCAAGAGAAUUAAAACAGAUGUUCAACUAUAUGUCAUUCUCCUUUUGUAUGUGUAUCUAUGUUAUAGGAAAGCAUCAAACCCUGAUGAAUUAUGUUAAUAAAUAGGAAAGAAAUCCAGAUGUUUUCUUUUGGGGGAGUAUAAUUUUAAAGGUGAACUUCCUUAAUGAAAAUAAACAAAUUAUAAAAGUAACACAUGAUUUUUACUUUCUCAAAUGAAACAUGUCAGAAAUAUAUGGAGUUAUAAGGAAAAUACAUCUUAACCUUAUCCCAAAUCCAAAUUCUCUCCACAGAUACCCACUUAAGACAUUCUGGUUUGGAAUAUGCCAGACCUCUUCCUAGACAUCUGCUUACUUACCCCUGUAUAUAGAUAACUGCAGUUUUCUGUAGAUAACUACAGCUUUCUGUGGCCAAAUAUCCUUCUCCUAUUUUUAACAAAAAUGACAUUAUACCAUACAUGACCCAGAGGAAUUAAUAGACACUCUCCUCAGAGUACCAUAGUUAAAUAAGAUCUAAGUGUUUUUCACCCUUGUAUCACUACUCCAUAUUCAAGUUCUUACAAAAUGACAGAUCACAUGUUCUCCCCUUGCCCAAAAGGAGCAGACCACCUUUACUGAUCAUUCUACCAAGACUUUCUGAAAUGAUAGAGGAGUACAUCAAAAGAAAAUUGAGAUGUCAAAAGGUGGAAAAAGAAAUAUUAAAUGGCAACAGCAGCAGAAGGAUACAUCUCUGUAUGAGACUUGCUCAAUAUACUAGGGAGAACAUACAAGUAAACAAAACGUAGAUAAUAAGAGAGAAGAACAUAUGAAGUGUCAUGGGUACAAAGAUGAGGAAGCAACUAACUUUACCUAGAAUUUGGGGGAAAACCUUACCAUGCCUUAAGUGACGAUUAAGAAUUUCCCAGUGAAUGAAAUUCCAGCACUAAUAUAUGGAACUAGUAUAAAAUGGUGAUCAUGCAUAAUCUACUCCUCCUUUGGGGUCCAAGUCAAUUCCCAUAAAUUUCUUGAUAUUAUCUGAUUUUCCAACUACUUAUCAUGACUUCCUCAUUUAGAACUUCAUCAAGUAGUAUAUUACAUUUUUCCUAAAACAUUUCAUGCAUAUGUAUCAUGUUUUUGUAUUAAACAUAAGUAGAUAUUUCAUUUAUUACACAAACCAAGAUCAUUUGCGAGAUUAUGUCUAGAAUAUAUAUGAUCUAAUAUAUGUAAGACCGGGAUUGCUUCUGGUCUUAUUAAAGUGACCUUUUCCUUUUAUGGAUAACAUUACUUUUAUGUAAGGCACAAGGACCUCUCCUGUUAAUUUUGUAACCCUCCAAUAAAUAUUUCACUGUCUUAUGACCUGAAUUUUUAGAAAUGUUAAACUGUCAAUGCAAUUGGUAGGAUUAUAGCUUUUUCCAGAAUUGUUAGGGGAGUGGUAUUUGGUCACUGAAAAUAUCAGUGUCCCAACUAUAGUAUGAUAAAUUUUAUUUCGAUAAGCUUUCCGUCUCUGACCUAAAAAAAAUAAUGUUCUGUCACCUCUUAUGUCCUUGGGGCUUUUGAACAACUAUAAAUUGCUGGUGGAGAGAUAUUUGACAGCUGGGAUUAGGACAUGUGAAUGGAAAGGAAAGGAUAUAUACAGAAGCCCAAUUUAGUUCUGUGUCGCAUGACCUAAUCUCAGAAAGAAGAGUGGUAAGGUUAAGAGGUGAUACCAAAGAAUCCUAGAACGGAUGCCAAACUUUUCUGAAGUGUAUUGAUUGAUUUCUGACAGAAUUUUUAAAGGGAAAAAUAAUAAUAUCAAUUAUAUGUUUAUAAUCUAUAAGUAAUUGAAUCUUUAUAGUAGAGGAAUAUUAUAUAUUAAGGACUGAGUUUUCAAGAAGGCAGCCAUCUGCAAGCCAGGAAGCGGGCCCUCACCAGAACCCAACUAUGCUGGCACCCUUGUCUGAGACUUCAUCUGCAGGACUCUGAGAAAUAAAUGUCUCUUGUUUAAACCACCUAGUCAGUGGUAUUUUCUAUAGCAGCCCAAGCUAACACAUCAUAUUAAGUUAUAAAAUUUAAGCUUUUGUCAUAUAAAGUUAUAUUUCAAAUCUUUGCAAAUAGAGUUUAUAUAAAAAUAUCAAGACUUCUGAUUUCAGUUCUGAUACAUAAAGAGCUUAGAAACUGCCACUCCAUUCUUACAAUAAGAAAAAGCUGAACAUCCUGAAAAUCAAUAAAUUUUCUUGGAAUCAUCACAGCAUUGGGAUCUUAAGGCACACUGCCAUCCUGAAAUUUGUAGAGUCAAGGUGAAUCCAAAGUGUCAUAGCCAAUAUUUCCUUACCUGGAGCAAGCUACUGCAGCUAUAACUGGUAGCAAUUAAAUGACAAUUUCUGGAGACUGAGUGUAUACCAGUGUGAGAAUGAGAAGCUCCUAUGGGCCACAGUCUUAUGGUUCCCCCAACACUCUUGUGAUUUUAAUUUUUACCAGGUUCUGGUGAUGUAGUAGUUUGCUAGUGCUGCCAUAGCAAAAUACCACUGACUGGGUAGUUGAAACAACAGAAAUUCAUAUUCUCACAGUUCUGGAGUCUGAAAGUCCAGGAUCACGGUACCACAGGGUUGGUUUCCUGUGAGGCCUAUUUCCUUGACUUGGAGAUGGUCACCUUCUUGCUGUGUUCUCACAUGAUCUUUCUUCUAUGUGCAUGUACCCCUGGGAUCGCUUUGUGUGUCCUAAAGUCUCCUCUUUUAAGGACAACAGUCAAAUUGGAUUAGGUCCCACCAUAACGGU